rnacentral:rRNA from 1 species
UACGUAGGUGGCAAGCGUUGUCCGGAAUUAUUGGGCGUAAAGCGCGCGCAGGCGGCCUCUUAAGUCUGAUGUGAAAGCCCCCGGCUCAACCGGGGAGGGCCAUUGGAAACUGGGAGGCUUGAGUAUAGGAGAGAAGAGUGGAAUUCCACGUGUAGCGGUGAAAUGCGUAGAGAUGUGGAGGAACACCAGUGGCGAAGGCGACUCUUUGGCCUAUAACUGACUCGUGAGGCGCGAAAGCGUGGGGAGCAAACAGG